UACGGAGGGUGCGAGCGUUAAUCGGAAUAACUGGGCGUAAAGGGCGCGCAGGCGGGCUUUUAAGUGAGAUGUGAAAGCCCCGGGCUUAACCUGGGAAUAGCGUUUGAAACUGGGAGACUAGAGUGCAGUAGGGGAGGGUAGAAUUCCACGUGUAGCGGUGAAAUGCGUAGAGAUGUGGAGGAAUACCAGAGGCGAAGGCAGCCCCCUGG
rnacentral:rRNA from 1 species